rnacentral:rRNA from 1 species
UUUAGAGUUUGAUCCUGGCUCAGGACGAACGCUGGCGGCGUGCUUAACACAUGCAAGUCGAACGAUGACGGUGGUGCUUGCACCGCCUGAUUAGUGGCGAACGGGUGAGUAACACGUGAGUAACCUGCCCUCCACUUCGGGAUAACCUCGGGAAAUCGUGGCUAAUACCGGAUAUGAGCACUCAUCGCAUGGUGGGUGUUGGAAAGAUUUAUCGGUGGGGGAUGGACUCGCGGCCUAUCAGUUUGUUGGUGAGGUGAUGGCUCACCAAGACGAUGACGGGUAGCCGGCCUGAGAGGGCGACCGGCCACACUGGGACUGAGACACGGCCCAGACUCCUACGGGAGGCAGCAGUGGGGAAUAUUGCACAAUGGGCGAAAGCCUGAUGCAGCGACGCCGCGUGGGGGAUGACGGCCUUCGGGUUGUAAACCCCUUUCAGUAGGGAAGAA